AACAAAAUUGACAUGAAAUUGACAACGUCGUCAUAAGUAAAAUAGCGAUAAACAGAUUAUCAUUGGUCAUCUCAACUUGAUUGCCUUUCUCGCUUUCGCCGUCUUGGCUGAAGCGAGAAAAUCAAUCUCGUUGAGAUGAUCAACGAUAAUCUAUAAUUAUAUGCAGAGAAAACGAAUCUCGACUUCAGCAGUGUUGACAAAUUCAUAGACAACGGAAAAUACUUUCUUCCAGCCUGCGACCACAGUUGCUGAACAGAUACAUGUUUUGUCUCUGUUUCAUCAUCAGCUUUAAGAUUCAAUCUGUUGUGGACACGUUUUUAUAAAUCAAUAUUUUUUUUAACCCUUAAUAAAAUUUCACUUAUCUUAGACAAAAAAAUAGUUUUUCAUUGUUUUGUAUUUUCUUGGUUAUUGGUUUAUUU
rnacentral:lncRNA from 1 species